GUACCUACGGGGGGCAGCAGUGGGGAAUAUUGCACAAUGGGGGGAACCCUGAUGCAGCGACGCCGCGUGAGUGAAGAAGUAUUUCGGUAUGUAAAGCUCUAUCAGCAGGGAAGAUAAUGACGGUACCUGACUAAGAAGCACCGGCUAAAUACGUGCCAGCAGCCGCGGUAAUACGUAUGGUGCAAGCGUUAUCCGGAUUUACUGGGUGUAAAGGGAGCGCAGGCGGGGCGGCAAGUCUGAUGUGAAAGCUCGGGGCUCAACCGCGGGACUGCAUUGGAAACUACCGAACUAGAGUGUCGGAGAGG
rnacentral:rRNA from 1 species